rnacentral:rRNA from 1 species
GACGAACGCUGGCGGCGUGCUUAACACAUGCAAGUCGAACGGAAAGGCCCUGCUUUUGUGGGGUGCUCGAGUGGCGAACGGGUGAGUAACACGUGAGUAACCUGCCCCUGACUUUGGGAUAACUUCAGGAAACUGGGGCUAAUACCGGAUAGGAGCUCCUGCUGCAUGGUGGGGGUUGGAAAGUUUCGGCGGUUGGGGAUGGACUCGCGGCUUAUCAGCUUGUUGGUGGGGUAGUGGCUUACAAAGGCUUUGACGGGUAGCCGGCCUGAGAGGUUGACCGGCCACAUUGGGACUGAGAUACGGCCCAGACUCCUACGGGAGGCAGCAGUGGGGAAUAUUGCACAAUGGGCGGAAGCCUGAUGCAGCAACGCCGCGUGCGGGAUGACGGCCUUCGGGUUGUAAACCGCUUUCGCCUGUGACGAAGCGUGAGUGACGGUAAUGGGUAAAGAAGCACCGGCUAACUACGUG